GAUGAACGCUGGCGGCGUGCCUAAUACAGGAAAGUCGAGCGAACAGACGAGGAGCUUGCUCCUCUGACGUUAGCGGCGGACGGGUGAGUAACACGUGGAUAAAUUACCUAUAAGACUGGGAUAACUUCGGGAAACCGGAGCUAAUACCGGAUAAUAUAUUGAACCGCAUGGUUCAAUAGUGAAAGACGGUUUUGCUGUCACUUAUAGAUGGAUCCGCGCCGCAUUAGCUAGUUGGUAAGGUAACGGCUUACCAAGGCAACGAUGCGUAGCCGACCUGAGAGGGUGAUCGGCCACACUGGAACUGAGACACGGUCCAGACUCCUACGGGAGGCAGCAGUAGGGAAUCUUCCGCAAUGGGCGAAAGCCUGACGGAGCAACGCCGCGUGAGUGAUGAAGGUCUUCGGAUCGUAAAACUCUGUUAUUAGGGAAGAACAAAUGUGUAAGUAACUAUGCACGUCUUGACGGUACCUAAUCAGAAAGCCCCGGCUAACUACGUC
rnacentral:rRNA from 1 species